GAGGAACUCAGCUUCAGGACAAGACAACAUUACAGUAUGGCCCAUUGGAGGAGAUGAACAGGAGCUGCCCAGAUGUGAGGGGUAUGACAUCAUCCAUGGAGACUCACCUGACUGCUGAACCUAGCGAAGGAAGGCUUGGGGUUACGCUACUGCAAGUGGUAAAGGCAUGUGAGGGCCUUAAAGUGAAUUAAUUCAAAGAAACCAGAACCCAAGGAUUCCAGUUUUAUCUCAGAGCCCAGGACAGACAGGCCCUUUCUCUCCCUCCUAACUGUGAGUCCACAUGGUUGGAAGCCAGGACCCCAAGCAAUCAACACAGAGGACACUCAGAGGCGGACCAGUUGAGAGAUAACAAACAGUCCUUCAAGACCCACGCUCUCCUUCCUUAGUGUAUCGGAGUCCAGGACUGCAGGAGCCUGGAUUUCUGAAUCAGUGGGUGGGGAAAGCAAUCCACCAAGAAAUGUCAGUCUUGGACUAUGAUGGAAAUGAGAACUACCUUCUUUUGCAUUGGAAUCUGGAUAUGCCCUGGGCUUUCUGAACUACCUAUUCACCCGACCAACACACAUAUUAUGUGACAUCAGGCCCCUUGACACACCUGUCUAGCACAUCUUCAUGGCUCCAUUGCCUGCCUUUAGAGAGAGUUCUUGUGGCUGGGAUAAAGUACGUGCUGUGUGAACACGAGGACCUGUGUUCUGUCCCCCAGCAUUCAUGUAAAAAGCUGGGUGUGGAGGUAUGUUCCCUGGAAUCCCAGUGCUGGGGAAAUAGACAGGUGGAUUCCUGGAGAUCACUGGCUGACCAGCCUUGCCAAGCCAAUGAACUCCAGGGUCAGUGAGACCGUUUCAAAAAUAAAGGUAGAGAGCGAGAGUA